ACUUAAAUUGAAGAGUUUGAUCAUGGCUCAGAUUGAACGCUGGCGGCAGGCCUAACACAUGCAAGUCGAGCGGUAGCACAGAGAGCUUGCUCUCGGGGGACGAGCGGCGGACGGGUGAGUAAUGUCUGGGAAACUGCCUGAUGGAGGGGGAUAACUACUGGAAACGGUAGCUAAUACCGCAUAACGUCGCAAGACCAAAGUGGGGGACCUUCGGGCCUCAUGCCAUCAGAUGUGCCCAGAUGGGAUUAGCUAGUAGGUGGGGUAACGGCUCACCUAGGCGACGAUCCCUAGCUGGUCUGAGAGGAUGACCAGCCACACUGGAACUGAGACACGGUCCAGACUCCUACGGGAGGCAGCAGUGGGGAAUAUUGCACAAUGGGCGCAAGCCUGAUGCAGCCAUGCCGCGUGUGUGAAGAAGGCCU
rnacentral:rRNA from 1 species